GCUUGGCCGGUUUCGAGUCGCUGGCCUGCAGCUUCCCGGUGGUUUCCCGAGGCCUCCUUGCUUCCCGCUCUCCGAGGAGCCUUUCAUCCGAAGGCGGGACGAUGCCGGAUAAUCGGCAGCCGAGGAACCGGCAGCCGAGGAUCCGCUCCGGGAACGAGCCUCGUUCCGCGCCCGCCAUGGAACCGGAUGGUCGCGGUGCCUGGGCCCACAGUCGCGCCGCGCUCGACCGCCUGGAGAAGCUGCUGCGCUGCUCGCGUUGAUUUGAAAGAAGAUAAACCUAGGAAAAGUUUGUUUAAUGAUGCAGGAAACAAGAAGAAUUCAAUUAAAAUGUGGUUUAGCCCUCGAAGUAAGAAAGUCAGAUAUGUUGUGAGUAAAGCUUCAGUGCAAACCCAGCCUGCAAUAAAAAAAGAUGCAAGUGCUCAGCAAGACUCAUAUGAAUUUGUUUCCCCAAGUCCUCCUGCAGAUGUUUCUGAGAGGGCUAAAAAGGCUUCUGCAAGAUCUGGAAAAAAGCAAAAAAAGAAAACUUUAGCUGAAAUCAACCAAAAAUGGAAUUUAGAGGCAGAAAAAGAAGAUGGUGAAUUUGACUCCAAAGAGGAAUCUAAGCAAAAGCUGGUAUCCUUCUGUAGCCAACCAUCUGUUAUCUCCAGUCCUCAGAUAAAUGGUGAAAUAGACUUACUAGCAAGUGGGUCCUUGACAGAAUCUGAAUGUUUUGGAAGUUUAACUGAAGUCUCUUUACCAUUGGCUGAGCAAAUAGAGUCUCCAGACACUAAGAGCAGGAAUGAAGUAGUGACUCCUGAGAAGGUCUGCAAAAAUUAUCUUACAUCUAAGAAAUCUUUGCCAUUAGAAAAUAAUGGAAAACGUGGCCAUCACAG
rnacentral:sRNA from 1 species